rnacentral:lncRNA from 1 species
UUCAUCCUGAAAUCUCUCCCUUCAGACUCAGUACUCUCCAGUCCUAUUUAGAAAAUUAAGAGAAGUCACCAGAACUCCUUCUACCAAGGGCUGUGAUAGGAUGGAAAAAAUGGAUUCCUACACACUGAUGAGGAAUGACAGCAGAGGCAAAUGAGACUUUAAGAAGACUAAAGGCCCUUCAAGCUCCUUUGAAAAUGGAGAGACCUUCUAUGUCCAAAUGGAAUAUGACUGGCUUAUACACCUUCAACAUGGGGCAUAUAACCUAGACUGAUUAAGGAGACUGGUCCGUAUUCCUGGCUUGGUAAGUAGAACAAGGAGGGCAUGUGACAAAGCCAGACCACUGACAGUGAGCUUUGGAACUCGUUGAAUCUACUGGAAGAGCGGGCUUUUCUCUGAGACCCCUAGCCAUAAAAUCAUUACAGGCCUAGGAAUGCUGUAGCCAUCUUUGCCACUUUGAAAUGGCUAAGUAUGAGAUUAAUACAGAGAAAGUCAAAACCUAGAAAUAAAGGGAAAUAAGUACUAAUAUGGAUUAUGUCU